rnacentral:lncRNA from 1 species
AGGCUUGGGGUGAGGCCAGGGAAGGGUUUGGGGUGUCCCCUGGGCCCCCAGCUGCUCCCUGGGACCUGUGUGGUUUCCACAUUUGCUGACUUUCUGCCCGCUUGGUUGUCACCCCAGGGAAGGACGGCGAGGUCCUCCCUGUCUGCCGCAUGCCCGAGCACCUCCUGCAGCUCAACAGCAAGGGUCCCGAGCACAUCUACUGCAGCUGCGUCUCGCCCUGCGGCAGCUGGGUCGCCUACUGCACGGCCUCCCGCUUCCACCUCUACCGCGUGCAGCACGAGGGCGACGGCGUCAGCGUCAAGAAGGUGGGCACGGGACGGAGGGAAGGGCAGGGGGGGAGCCCCCGGGGGGGCACGGGGUGACUGCUGAUGCUGCCUUCCUCCUCAGGUCCCCGGCGUGCCCAAGCUGCUGCUCCCGGCGUACCAGCUGCAGUGCGCCUCGGACGCGAGCCGGCUGUUUGUGGGCUCUGAGCGAG